GACGAACGCUGGCGGCGUGCUUAACACAUGCAAGUCGUACGGUAAGGCCCUUUCGGGGGUCCACGAGUGGCGCACGGGUGAGUAACACGUGAGUAACCUGCCCACAACUUUGGGAUAACGCUAGGAAACUGGUGCUAAUACUGGAUAUGUGCUCCUGCUGCAUGGUGGGGGUUGGAAAGCUCCGGCGGUUGUGGAUGGACUCGCGGCCUAUCAGCUUGUUGGUGGGGUAGUGGCCUACCAAGGCGGCGACGGGUAGCCGGCCUGAGAGGGUGACCGGCCACAUUGGGACUGAGAUACGGCCCAGACUCCUACGGGAGGCAGCAGUGGGGAAUAUUGCACAAUGGGCGCAAGCCUGAUGCAGCAACGCCGCGUGCGGGAUGACGGCCUUCGGGUUGUAAACCGCUUUCAGCAGGGACGAAGCUUUUUGUGACGGUACCUGCAGAAGAAGCACCGGCUAACUACGUG
rnacentral:rRNA from 1 species